rnacentral:lncRNA from 1 species
GAUUUUUGUUAAGAGGCAGUAUAUGGUAUGGUGGUUAAGAAUGUGGUCUAUACCUAUGGUGUCAAACUACCUGCAUUCAAAUAUCACCCAAGCCACUUAUUAUCUGCAAGAGCUUGGACAAGUCAUAUAGCCAUUUUAUACCUGUGUUUCCUUAUCUGUGAAAUGACAAUAAUAAUAGCAUUCAGUUUUGAUGAUCAAAUGUGCUAGUUUCCCAGAUGUGAAACAUUAGAAGAAUACCUGGUGUAUAGUAAAAAAUAAAUGUCAGCAAUGAUUAUUUCUUACACAAGCCUGGUGAAAAUUCAAGUUUACUGGUUAUUAAAUUGCAUUGGUUCUGUUUGGGGUCUUCCUCAUUAUGUUCAGAGAUCAGCAAUGCCCUGAGGUUUUUUUUUUUUUUUUUUUUGGCGGGGGGUCAUAUUUGCCUGAUUAUAUCUCAUCGUCAAGUAGAAACACUAAAAUACAUAAUUCAAAACAAAGAUUUGAUCUUCAAAAGGGAAAGACAAAGCACCAUCUCAAAUUUGCUGUACCGAAGGGCCUGGCUCAGUGCCUGACACAUGGUAGGUGCUCUGCAGACCUGGGUCCACCCAUGGAUUAUCUCUGCCCAGGAUUCUGACCCAUAAAAGGAAGGGCAUUCUUUCCACAUUCUUGGUAAAUCUGUGUAGGAUUCUUAUCUUAAAUGUAGUCUUUAACCUUAGGAGACUCAGAAACUUUGAAACUAUAGUAUUAUGACUGAAAUAUUAAGCUUUUUAAAAACACAUACUUUAGUUCAUUUAGCUGUCUAAUAUUUUCUCUGUUCUUAAAUUUGCAACCUUUUAAAAUGUAUGGUUUUAAAUUACAUAGUGGAUUAUUCAGGUACUCAUCUAACAUUUAAAAUGUAAACAGUGCAAAUUUUUCUUAAAGGCAAGAAGCAGGGGAUUAUCAUAUGUGAAAGGGAGUAGAAAUAUGAUCUUUUUAUUCUUGCUUGCCUAGAUUUUGCAGUUUUAAUCAAAUUGGCAUUUAAAAAUACUGGGCUCUAUCUGUUAAGAACUGUCUGUUGUUUAUAGAGAUUUUUAGGUGUAAAUUAUCUAGCCAGAUGUUUAAGCACCAAAGGGAAACAAGUUAAAUACAAUUAACCCAGUCUUCAUUUAUCAAGUAGUUAAUUCUCAGCGGUAGGCCACAAAAUCAGUCUUUUGAUCCCAAUAAUAUAUAUAGGUAUAACUAUUUAGAUAACAUAAAAUGAAAGUUACAAAGCCUUAUUUUGAAACUCUUUAAGCUUGGCCAAAUUAGGGAACAUUUUAUUCAAUAUAGGUGGCUUCCCAAAUUUUGGUUACUGAUUGCCUUUGUCAUUGCCUUUAGGACAACUGUAGACUUUGUGGAUAUUGGAACAGAUAUAAUAAUUGUACUGUAAUUUCCCACCAGGUAAAUCACAUAAUUAUUAUGGGAGUAUGAAAAUAUCUGAGAACAGGGACAGGGUGGGGGUGUGUGGGAUACAUACACAUAUGCAUGCAGUAUAAAAAUAAGAUUGCAAAAUGUUGCAUCAUUUCAGUUGCUCAACUGCAGCUCAACUCAACUCUUGCAUAGUCCCCUAUAACAUUGUGUUAGUGUGGAAUUUAGGUACAUUUUAAUAUGUUUCAUAUGCUAUGAGGUCGGACCUCCCUAAAACAAUAGUCUUAGGAUCUAUAAAGUUCUUAAAACUCAUCUGAUUAUGGUGAGUUUUUAAACAUUUUGCAUAAUUUUUUAAAUUCUAAAAGUAUUAUGAAAUGACAGAAGGUUUGGGUUUGGGAAACAAAGGGAGGAAAAAAAUCAGCUACUACUUAACAAAAAUCAUUUGUACCUUGCUCUAUAUCUAAAUCUAUAUCUACAUCCCAUUGUACUUUCAGGCUUGUACUUUAUUUCUUCUAUGCACCUACAGUGAAGUUUUAAAUAUUCUGGGCUCUGUGUAUAAAGGUUCUGAGUUCUUCAGUAUUCCUGAGAAGGAGCUUAAAAAUACUGUGAUUUUUAUAAGUCGCAUUAGAGACCUAGGAAAUCAUUCCAAAACAUUAAUUUUGAGCCAAAUUUCUAAUAGGGUAUUAAAAACAGGGGUAUAGUGGAAAUUGUAUUAAAUAAGAAUCAGGAGUUUAUGUUCAAGUCGCACUUCUGACAACAUGAGUUCUAUCAGUUGAAGUAUGUUUGCGAUACAUGAAUGUAUAUGAGAAAUACACAUAUACAGUCAAGAGAAUAAGCAAUGAUUCAUACGCAUUCCCCAGAACCAUGCUUUAUGCUUAAACAAGAUUUAUGGACUUGUUUUCUUGGGCUUGCAUUUCCCUGUGAGAGAGUAUUUUACGGUGGGCUGGAAGGUGUUUCUGUUUCUCUUGGUUAACAUAUAUGGGGAGCAACAGAAGGUAACAGGAAUGAUUGAGAGGGAGACAAAGAGACCUUGGGAAGGGUGGAUGAGAGCAGUGGGGAGGAAGAAAGAAGGGUAAGGAUCCAAUUAUUUACUUGACAUCUAUUUGCAACUCUAUUAAGUAUGGAGAUAAAAAGAGAGAUGGGUAUUAAGGGGACAAAACACAGUGGAGAUUUUAGCUACCCCCAGUGUUUUCCUCUGGCUCACUGACUUCCAGUUAUCCUCUUUCUUUGCUUAUUGUUACAUGUUUUUGGAUAUCAAAGAGAGUAUCCUAAAAUAACUUUGAUACAGUUAAUGAUCUUAGUGGAAUGAUAGGAGUUUUAAAAAAGAACAAAGAGCAUUCCAUUUGUAUUAUAGAACAAUUAAAUAAAAAUCCACUUACAGCCAUAAGUUGCAAAUUUUUAAACAUAUAUCAUUUACUUAUCUAGCUCAUUUUUACCUCAUCUGCCUAUGUAAACCCAUCGUUAUUCUAAGUCUCCCUUAAUAAACUAAGAUUUCCUUCUUACUCUAAUAUUUGAGAUCUAAGUACAAUCCAAAUGUCAGAGGUUAUUGUUGUUGUUAUUAUUUCCACCAUGGAGACCUCCGAUUUUCUAAUAAAAUAUUUUUAUAAAUUUUACUCAACACAAAUUAGUUUACUUUUCAUGCUGUCUCCAAAAGUGAGGAAGUAGAGUAGUUAAGAGUCAUAAAUUCGGAGCCUGAGUUUUGGGGUUUGAUGUAACUCCACACCUAACUAACUGUGUGACCUUGAGCAAAUUACUUCAACCUUCUGCCCUUUCAUUUCUUGGUCUAUAAAAUGAUGACAAUUAUAGUAAUUUUCUCAUAAUGCUGUUAUGAGGCUUAAAUUAGUUAACUUGGGGUAAGUGCUUAAAACAGUACUUAGAACACAUAGCUCUUCAUAUUUCAGUGGUUCUCCACGUUGGUGACACAUUAGAAUCACCUGGGGAGUUGGUGCUCACCUCACCCAUUAAAUCAGAAUCUUUGGGGGUGGGGCCCAGUACUGGGAGCAAUUGAAAUUGGGAGCAAUUAUUGAAAUUGCUGAGGUGAUUCCAGUGAGCAGCCAGCGUUGGGAACGAUGGCCGUAAAUGGCUGUAAUUAUCCUGCUGACUAAAUUAUAAACUUCCUGAGGGCAGGGAGUCCAUUACUUCUUUUUAUACAUCCUUCCUAGUGCAGCUAGCACAGUGCCUUACUUGUAACUAAUGCUCAUUAAAUACUAUCAAUGAAAGAAAACAUGUUGAUGAUAUUUUAGAUGUGUAAAGACCUUGCAGGACCACAGAGGUGCUAAUUUUAAGCAUUAAUUAUUCAUUCCCUCAUUUAUUCAUUUAUAUGUGCUACACACUUUGGAGUCUUGAUGCUAAACACUGCAGGCAUAUAUGAUUUGAAAAUGCAAUCCCUGUUCCAAAGAGUUUAUAAUUUAGUAUGAAUAAAUGCAUACAUGACUUUAAUAGAAGGGAAACUAACCAUGUAUAAGUGCUGUGUUACAAUUUAGGUUCCCUUGGAGGCUGUCUCUAAGAUGGAGCAUGCAGAGCGUUUGUUUGGAAGUGCUCUUGAGAAUAACACCUCUGCGUGUGCUGGGGAAAGGGAAAGCUAUGGAACCAUUGAAAUAUGAAAUAAUU